rnacentral:rRNA from 1 species
GGCAUAAGCUAGCUUGACUGCGAGCGUGACGGCGCGAGCAGGUGCGAAAGCAGGUCAUAGUGAUCCGGUGGUUCUGAAUGGAAGGGCCAUCGCUCAACGGAUAAAAGGGACUCCGGGGAUAACAGGCUGAUACCGCCCAAGAGUUCAUAUCGACGGCGGUGUUUGGCACCUCGAUGUCGGCUCAUCACAUCCUGGGGCUGAAGUAGGUCCCAAGGGUAUGGCUGUUCGCCAUUUAAAGUGGUACGCGAGCUGGGUUUAGAACGUCGUGAGACAGUUCGGUCCCUAUCUGCCGUGGGCGCUGGAGAAUUGAGGGGGGCUGCUCCUAGUACGAGAGGACCGGAGUGGACGCAUCACUGGUGUUCGGGUUGUCAUGCCAAUGGCACUGCCCGGUAGCUAAAUGCGGAAGAGAUAAGUGCUGAAAGCAUCUAAGCACGAAACUUGCCCCGAGAUGAGUUCUCCCUGAGACUAUAAGUCUCCUGAAGGAACGUUGAAGACGACGACGUUGAUAGGCCGGGUGUGUAAGCGCAGCGAUGCGUUGAGCUAACCGGUACUAAUGAACCGUGAGGCUUAACCUUACAACGCCGAAG